rnacentral:rRNA from 1 species
UACAGAGGUCCCGAGCGUUGUUCGGAUUCAUUGGGCGUAAAGGGUGCGUAGGCGGCGCGGUAAGUCGGGUGUGAAAUCUCGGAGCUUAACUCCGAAACUGCAUUCGAUACUGCCGUGCUUGAGGACUGGAGAGGAGACUGGAAUUUACGGUGUAGCGGUGAAAUGCUUAGAUAUGACAUAGAACACCAAUUGCGAAGGCAGCUGGCUACACAUAUAUUGACACUGAUGCACGAAAGCGUGGGGAUCAAACAGG